UAGCAUUUUACAUUUCUCCUGUGCUUCUGUC
rnacentral:piRNA from 1 species